GUCUACAGCUAUGCUACCCUGAAUAAGCCCGAUCCCUUGUGAUCUCGGAAGCUAAGCAGGGUUGGGCCUGGUUAGUACUUGGAUGGGAGACCACCUAAAACAAACAAACAAACAAAGAAAUAAGUGAUUGUAAGCU
rnacentral:rRNA from 1 species